GCCAGGUGUGGUGGCGCAUGCCUGUAGUCCCAGCUACUGGGGAGGCUGAGUCAGGAGACUCGCUUGAACCCAGGAGGCGGAGGUUGCAGUGAGCCAAGAUGGCGCCACUGCACUCCAGCCUGGGUGACAGACUGAGACCCUGUCUCAA
rnacentral:SRP_RNA from 1 species